rnacentral:rRNA from 1 species
GCUGAAUUUAAGCAUAUAACUAAGCGGAGGAGAAGAAACUAACGAGGAUUUCCCUAGUAGCGGCGAGCGAACCGGAAAGAGCCCAGCUUGAGAAUCGCGUGGCCCCGCCCCGCGAAUUGUAGUCUGGAGAAGCGUCCUCUGCGACGGACCGAGCCCAAGUUCCCUGGAAAGGGACGCCGGAGAGGGUGAGAGCCCCGUCGAGCUCGGACCCUGUCGCUCCACGAGGCGCUGUCAACGAGUCGGGUUGUUUGGGAAUGCAGCCCUAAGCGGGUGGUAAAUUCCAUCCAAGGCUAAAUACGGGCAAGAGACCGAUAGCGAACAAGUACCGCGAGGGUAAAAGAUGAAAAGGACUUUGAAAAGAGAGUUAAAGAGUGCUUAAAUUGCCGGGAGGGAAGCGAAUGGAGGCCGCGGGUGCGCCCCGGUGCUAUGCGGAACGGCGCGAGCUGGUCCGCCGAUCGAUGCGGGGCGCUGGUCAGCGUGGGCUGCCGCGACGGGACAAGAGCGGGCUUUUGUCGCCCGCCGAUGCCGUCGCGACGGCCGAGGAACGAAGCGNGCGCCACUUGUGGCGGCUACGGCACCUGCGCGCUCGAGACGCUGGCGUUCUGGGCUUUCCAUCCGACNNNUCUGAAACACGGACCCANNGAGUCU